rnacentral:rRNA from 1 species
CGUCACAGCCAUGUCACCCUGCAGCCCAACACCGGUUACUCACUGAAAGUAAGCAGGGCUGAGCCUGGUCAGUACCUGGAUGGGAGACCACUAGGGAACACUAGGUUGCUGUUGGAA